rnacentral:rRNA from 1 species
UACGUAGGGGGCUAGCGUUGUCCGGAAUCAUUGGGCGUAAAGAGCGCGUAGGCGGCCAGAUAAGUCCGGUGUGAAAGUCACAGGCUCAACCUGUGAAUGCCGCUGGAAACUGUCUGGCUAGAGUCCGGGAGGGGCGAGUGGAAUUCCUGGUGUAGCGGUGAAAUGCGCAGAUAUCAGGAGGAACACCAAUGGCGAAGGCAGCUCGCUGGAACGGUACUGACGCUGAGGCGCGAAGGCUGGGGUAGCGAACAGG